rnacentral:rRNA from 1 species
UUGAAAGGGAAACGAUUGAAGUCAGUCGUACCUGUGGGUAAUCAGCCUUUUGGGUGUGAUUUUGUGGAGUGUGAGGAGUUAAACGCCUUCAUGCCUGCAUAUUCGUGCACUUUGGGUGUAUUUACCCGUGUGGUAAGUUAACAUCAAUUUCGGUGAUCAUAAAAUGGCUGGAGGAAUGUAGCUUCGAUCUUGUAUUGAAGUGUUAUAGCCUUCGGUAGAUGUGAUGAUCGGGAUUGAGGAUUGCAACGGAUACCCCUCGGGGCUACCUGUCUGAUCUCUGAUCGUUGCUCUGGUGCCGAAAGCUUGCUUACGGUUAUCAAAGUCGAUGGUCAAUAGGUUAGAACGGGUUAAAUUCGUUAAGGAUGUUGACGUA